rnacentral:misc_RNA from 1 species
AAUAACUCAGUUUAAAGCCAAUAGUGUAUGGCUUAUGUUCCAGAUACAAGAACAUCAAAAAGAGCUUGACAUAGCAUAUUUAGAUGUCACAAAACAAUCAUCAAAACUAUUAAUGAACUAUCUACUGGUUCCAAGGGAAGGUAUGGCUAAUCCUGAGAUUAUGGAGGCUUUGGUCCUGCGUGAAACAGUGCUUCUAGUCUGUGCAGAAAAACUAAACCGGGUAUGCUUUGGAGAUGCUAAUGCUAGGUAUGCAGGAUAUAGAGAAUUCCAGAAAGAAACCACAACGCUCUGUCGGAACUUUCUAUCCUGUGAGUCUCUUUUGCUAGAUUCUCCUUUCAAUUUCCAGAAAACCCUUGCAGGUAUAGAGUUUUGCUCCAGCUGGAACAUCCUUAUCGGUUAGUUCCACAAAGUGUCCGCAAGAUGUAAAGGGCUAAAAAAAAGAAAAAAAAAAAAAA